rnacentral:rRNA from 1 species
AUUGAACGCUGGCGGCAGGCCUAACACAUGCAAGUCGAGCGGAACGACGGGCGGGCGAGUAAUGCAUAGGUAUCUACCUGGCAGAUGGGGAUAAAGUACGGAAGGGGGCGCUAAUACAGCAUACUAGCAAAUGAGCCUAUGCCGGAUUGGUUAGUUGGUGGGGUAAAGGCUUACCAAGGCGACGAUCCCUAACUGGUCUGAGAGGAUGAUCAAUCACACUGGGACGGAGAAACGGUCCAGACUCCUACGGGAGGCAGCAGUGGGGAAUAUUGGACAAUGGGCGAAAGCCUGAUCCAGCCAUGCCGCGUGUGUGAAGAAGGCCUUCGGAUUGUAAAGCACUUUAAGUUGGGAGGCGUUACCAACAGAAUAAGCACCGGCUAACUCCGUGCCAGCCGCCGCGGUAAUUC